AGGUCAGUGUCAUCAUGUGGAAGGAGCCUGUGAAGUGAGCGGAGACCGACACAAACAGCAGAUAGUAGCAUCGCUGAGAGUUGUUCCCCAGUGCUGCUAAUGAUGGCAGUUUAGUUAUAGCAGCAAUGGAGGUGAUCAAUAACGUCACAGCUUCAGAAGGACCAGUUCGCUUCCGUGAAGGCAAGAAAAAGCCUUCAGCGUCAGUUAACCGCUGGGAGGCAUCGAUGUGCCAGCUCCUCCCUGGACGUCAACAAAUCCCAUCCUCUGCCUCCUCUUCCUCUGCUCCGUCAUCUGCAGGAACACAGGAAGUGCAACCUGCAACGACACACAACGCUGGAAGUCAACGUUUUUGCAGGACGCGUUUAAACGACGACCCCAACGUGUCCCUGCUGUGAGCUCAUUGACCCGCCAGACCACCCACCGCAGAUGAAACACGUGGUCUUCAGGAUCUCCUCCUUCUUCUGCUUCUCGCUUCUCAGGUCGGCGAACGUGUCGAUGAUGACGCCAAAGAUCAGGUUCAGGACGAUGAUGAUGACGAUGAAGUAGAAGAGCAGCGGCGCCUUCGGUCUCCGCGGUGCAGCUGACUCCGUCUGUAGAACACGACUUGAGGAAAUCCUGCGAGGCUUCGCUCUGCUGGGGAGCUGAACAACAAAACACACGCAGCCGGUGUUAACACAUCUGGUGCUGACUGGACUUCAAACCAGCGGACUCGAGCUUCAGUGACAGAGUUCCUCAGCCUUUUCUGGAUGCGUUCACAGACCGGAGUCUGUUUUGCGGGACAAUAAAGACUGAGCUCUAUUAACUGACAGCUGAAGUCCACUGGGUUUUAUUUGUCAGGUCUGACAGCAGCUUCACUAAAGAAAUGUGGGGAUUAUGCAACACUAUAUUAGAGCAGUCUACAGGUCCGUCAGACAACUGUAACGUCAGAUGGCACGCGAAAGUCGCAGGUGGAGCAACGGCACAUUUCAUAAUUUUGCAACAAAAGCGCCAACUAGUGGCCGAUUGGCACCAACUUUUGCACAGAGCCUCUGUGGGGAAUGUAAAGGUACUGGCUUAAAUUGCGUGUUAAUUGGACUAAUAUAUGUAGAUAUGACAUCACUUCCUGUUUUGACCAUUUCGUUAUAACCUGCUCAUUUGUUUUCAUGAUCAUGAGGGUCUAAAAAGUCCAAAAAUUUCGUGCAGAUCAGACUCACUGCCUAGGAGUUUGAAAUGCACAUUUGGGGGUGGCGAUGGCGCAGUGGAUAAAUCACAUGCCUUUGGUGUGAGAGACCCGGGUUUGAUUCCCCAUCCACCAAUGUGUCUCUGAGCAAGACACUUAAGCCCUCGUUGCUCCAGAGGCGUGCGACCUCUGACAUGGAGAGCAACUGUAAGUCGCUCUUGGAUAAAAGCGUCAGAUAAAUGUUAAAUUUCACAAUUUUGUGAAACAAAUUAUAGCAACAAUGGGCGUGGUACAUAUCACCAGAUGCAGCUACAUUCGGGGAACGCGUGCAUAUUAGGUAUUUAAAUGUGCAACAUAAUAUGUGGAAGUUAGGGGCCAAACCACAUCUGAGCGCCCCUGGUACUGGGAUCCACGAUUUGCAUGUUUUUAACUUGAGCUGAACCAGGAAGUGCUUUACAGGCGAUCAGUGACAUCAGAUUUAAAGGUGACCGGUGAAGAGAAGCUGAAACAGUUCUUCUAGUGUUUGUUAAAACUUGAGCAGCUGAAGGUUUUUAAACCCUGAAAACAGGCAUGACUUUUACUUUACUGGAACUUUCUAACAAAAGGAUUUACAGGAUGAGGAGUCAGGAGUCAGCGGCGUGUCGUUACCUCCAGCGAUCUGCAGCAGCGGGUCGACCUCCAUGAUGAAAUCUUCCUUCAGGCAGAGGAAGCCGACGAUGGAGAAGAGGUAGACGAGGAUGAGAGCGAGCAGCGCCGUCAGCAGGAUGGAGCGACCGUUGCGCGUCACGCUCUUGAUCACGUUAAACAGAGUCUCCUCCCGGUAGAUCAGGUCGAACAGCUGCAGGGAAAUACAGCAGAAACAGAGAUCAUGGAUGGGAGCUACGGGAGACCUUGCUCCUUUUCUGGUUGUAUGGUGGUGGUGGUGUUUACCAGGAUGCUGUAGAAGAGCUCGUGGACAAACAGUCCCAGUGUGGAGGUCAGGACGUACGCCAGGUGAUACAGGAACUCCACAUCCAUCACCAUGGCCUUGUAUCCCAUAAUAAACGUCCCGUUGUUCCCAACAAAGCUCACUACAAACACCACCUUGUUGAUCAGCUGGAGGUGAACAGGAAAAGAGCAGGUUAGCAGGUUGCUGGUGUUUUAACCAGAAGAGACAAAAACAAGAAACAAUGUGAUUUGAAAUUAUAAGAACUUUAAAGGGCAACUAGGGGUAACAUUUUUUUGUCUAUGUAAGUAAUUGGGAUAACUUUUUAAAAAAACUGGUCCAGUAUUGAGCGCAGAGGAGAAACAGGGCUGCAACGUUCCAUUGAUAAAAAAUUUCAUUUCAUUUUACUUCACAGAACCUGGGAACUGCUGGUUUAAGGCUUGGUGUUCAAAACUACGUCAAAGCUUUCCCAUAAGAGGUUUAGUGUUGAUGAGUAUGCCUCAUAUGCCCAGGGGGUAGAUGGGUAAUGUAGUGUUCCUUACAUUGAGGGAUCCCAGCAGUAUGAGCGUGUUGCCGAUGCCCAGGUGGUAGAUGGAUCUCAGUAUCAGGGCGAGGGUGAGAGGCUGGAGGCCAUAACGCUGAGAGAACAAACCCAACACCGAAAGACCCAUCAGGAUCCAGAACAACAUCAACAGCAGGGAGUCGUCAAUCGCUCCCUCUGAGAGGAAGAGGAGGAGGAGGAGGAGGAGGAGGAGAGACUGAGUUAGUGUGAGCACUGAAAGGCUAGAGGGGUAGAAGAAGGCGAUGAUGAGGUUGAUGAAGACAGCGAGGUUGAAGGAGAUGGUUCCCCACAGAGACAUCCUCCUGGAGAACCAGUACAACACCGGCAUACCUGCAGCAAACCAAGCUUCUUCUGCCACUCCAUCUCUCCGUGCAGGAAGGAGGUUUGUUCGAAGAAGUGCGUGACCUUUGACCCCUGCUCGUCCUGCUCGGUGGUGUUGAAGACUCUCGCCUUUGACUCCUCCGUCAGAAACUCACAGAUGGGAUGAACGGGAAACACGAUCUGCUCCAUGCUGCGGUCCUCGCGAACAAUCUGAAGAGAGGGACGAGUAUUUCAUUGUUAUCAGCCACCUGGACCAGAACCACAUGGAACCAGUACUUCUACAAGCUUAUAGUAGUACUGUAGUAGUAGUAGUCUGCAGUAUUAGUACACUACUGGGGUGUAACAAGGUCACUAACAGCAGAUACAUACAUAUGUGUGUCUAUCUGUUCCUUCUAAAUGUUAUUUAGUUUUCCUUUUUUAUUUCUUCCUUUCCUUUUAUUUAAUUUGUCAUAUUUUAUUGUUUUAUUCUAUUCAAAUAAAAAUAAAAAUAUUUGAACAUUUGUUUCUACAUUUUGUCUGCAGCGUGGAGGAUCCUGGGCUGAUGUCAAUAAAGGUUCAGCUUUAUUGACAACGUUUCAUGAACAGCGACCUGUCUAAUAGGACUAGUAUUCGUGUUGUAAUUUUAUCAGUAGUUUUGGUAUUGGUGCUUUAUCUGUGCAGUCUGCUGGCUGUACUACUGCAGUGGUACAGUAAUAGUAGAACUUUUGCAGCAUAAACAACAGAGUACACUUUAAUUAUUCUGCAUCUUAAAAUCAUUUAGUUACGAAUGAUUUGAUUUUUAUUAUAUACUCUGACAAGACUGAUUUGCUGUAUACUGUAAAAUUUCAAUUAAAAGAGUCACAAUUAGA